GCCAUGGUGAGAUUUAACUAUGUAUGUGAAACUCACUCUUGCCCCAUGGACAAAGAUGGAGGGUGUGAGGGACACCCCCUCCCACAACCCCCAGAGGACAGAAAUUCACACAGGUGUCUUCAUGAAAGCCAAAGGAAAACCCCUCAGUCUGGUGUGACUGAGCUCGUGAAGGUGUGGGAGAGCACAGACGGGAGCAGGUCAGGGGGGCGCCCUGGCAGUGGCCGGUGCUUGGUGCUGCCAGGGAAUAAAGCAGAGGAAGGCAGGCCUUGGAGGCCUUUUCAAAGUCACACACAGCCAGUUAAGUGGUGCAAUCGCAACUCCAUCUGGCCUGAUAUGACCCAAAAGCCCAUGAUGAUCUCACACAGAGGAACUUGGCUUCCACCAGGCAUCCCUGGAGCCCAGCAGCAGAUUCAAGGGACUCUUCCAAGAUUUAAAGACAAAAGUAAGCAUAAAGAAAAGGCACUGUGGUUGUCCAAGCACCUACAUGUUCUGGCUAACCCUGGGUGUGGAGGUCCGGGAAGAGGAGCAGCCUAUGGCUGGGCUGCAACAAUGUAUUCCCCGUGUUAUGCUAAGAAGUAAGAAACCUGGAAAAGCCACACUGACAGCAGAUUGUACUUAAUUGUGUUACAAUGUGUAUGCAUGUGUAUUUGGUUAGCAAAGCAAGAAUCUAUUAGCACCUAAAAAUAUAUGUAUAUCUAACCAUAUGAGAUGCUGUUCUGCAGCAUUUAGAUGACUUUUGAAGAGUUUUUACUGACAUGGGGGAAUUCAUCUAACAUGUUAUAAAGAAGAAAAAAUAGGCUACAGUA
rnacentral:lncRNA from 1 species